rnacentral:rRNA from 1 species
CCCAUAGCGUAUAUUAAAGUUGUUGCAGUUAAAAAGCUCGUAGUUGAACCUCGGGAUCAAUGGAUCGGUCAUGCCAUCGGUAUGUACUGGUCUCAUUGGUUCUCACCUUCUAAGGAACCAUGAUGUCAUUCAGUUGAUGUUGUGGGGAAUUAGGACUGUUACCUUGAAAAAAUUAGAGUGUUUAAAGCAGGCUAACGCUUGAAUACAUUAUCAUGGAAUAAUGAAAUAGGACAUCGCAUUCUAUUUUGUUGGUUUCUAGGAUCGAUGUAAUGAUUAAUAGGGAUAGUUGGGGGCAUUAGUAUUCAAUUGUCAGAGGUGAAAUUCUUGGAUUUAUUGAAGACUAACUACUGCGAAAGCAUUUGCCAAGGAUGUUUUCAUUAAUCAAGAACGAAAGUUAGGGGAUCGAAGACGAUCAGAUACCGUCGUAGUCUUAACCAUAAACUAUGCCGACUAGGGAUCGGAUGAUGUUGAUUUUUUAAUGACUCAUUCGGCACCUUACG